ACCACCUUAUUUGUUUGCUUCUUUCCAUCAUGUUGAAUUGCCGGCUGAGCAACCCCUCCUCCUUAGUUAUUUCAGACGGCAUCACUAUUUUUCUGCCCGAUCUUUUUUGUUAAGUGUCGCACAUAUGUUGAAGGACAAGUGGUGUACUUAUGAGGUCUUAGAUAAUUCUUGCCUCAUGACCAAGCUUCUGGGAUUGAAUUAGGACCAAACAUAGGAUCCCUUAUGUUAUAUUGUCAACACUCCUGAUGUUCUUCAUAUCAGUGUGUAUGGGUGUGUUAAGUAUCUCACAUAAGUAAUGUUUUCUCUUUAUAAGGUAUUCAACAAUCUUCACCUUAAGCUAUUUUUGGAGCUGAAUUAGGUGCAAGAACCAUUUUCUGAAACAUUUUCCACUUCAUAAUAGGCUUUUCCUGUC
rnacentral:lncRNA from 1 species